GUGCACCAGUCGCGAAUCCUCCGCAAUGCGCGAAAGCGCGACGGGGUUACCCGAGUGCCGUCCGCUGAGGACGGCUUUUGUCCAGUGUAGCCAGCUGGGCGAAUAAGGAGAGGGCAAGUCUGGUGUCAGCCGCCGCGGUAAUACCAGCUCUCCGAGUGGUGGGGGACGCUUAUUGGGACCUAAAGCAUCCGUAGCCGGUCUGGCAAGUCCCUUGUUAAAUCCAACGAUUCAAUCGUUGGACUGCAAGGGGAUACUGCCA
rnacentral:rRNA from 1 species